AGGAGCCCAGCUGGCUUCACCCAGUGGAUCCCCCACAGGGCUGCAGGUGGAGCUGCCUGCCAGUUCCCGGCCGUGUGCCCGCACUCCUCAGCGCUUGGGUGUCGAUGGGACUGGGCCCAUGGAGUAGGGGGCGGCGCUCGUCUGGGAGGCUCGGGCCACACAGGAGCCCACGGAGGUUGGGGGAGGCUCAGGCAUGGCGGGCUGCAGGUCCCGAGCCCUGCCGUGCAGGAAGGCAGUUAAGGCCCCGCGAGAAAUUGAGCACAGCAGCUGCUGGCUGAGGUGCUAAGCCCCUCACUGCCUGAGGCCAGUGGGGCCGGCCAGCUGCUCCGAGUGCGGGGUCCGCCGAGCCCACGCCCAUCCGGAACUCGCGCUGGCCUGCAAGCACCGCGCGCAGCCCUGGUUCCCGCCCGCGCCUCUCCCUCCACACCUCCCUGUAAGCUGAAGGAGCCCGCUCCGGCCUUGGCCAGCACAGAAAGGGGCUCCCACAGUGCAGCCUCGAGCUGAAGGGCUCAUCAAGUGCCGCCAAAGUGGGAGCCCAGGCAGGGGAGGCGCCGAGAGCCAGUGAGGACUGCCAGCACCGCUGUCACCUCUCAGAAAUGCUGGGAAGAAUAUGAGAGAUCCGGAAGGGAACAGAAGACAAGGAAUGUGGGCACCCUCUAGAAGUUGCAGAAGCCAGAGAAACAGACUCUCCCCUGGAAUGUUCAGAAAGUGUACAAUCCUGCCAAGACCUCGGUCAUAGCUCAGUGAAACCCAUUUUGAAAUUCGGACCACCAGAACUAAGUUGCCUGCUUCUCCUUCGC
rnacentral:lncRNA from 1 species